rnacentral:rRNA from 1 species
GGUCUUUGACGCAGUUGCGCCCGAGGCCACUCGGCCGAGGGCACGCCUGCCUGGGCGUCACGCCAAAACACGCUCCCAACCACCCUCAACGGGAAUCGGGAUGCGGCAUCUGGUCCCUCGUCUCUCAAGGGACGGUGGACCGAAGAUUGGGCUGCCGGCGUACCGCGCCGGACACAGCGCAUGGUGGGCGUCCUCGCUUUAUCAAUGCAGUGCAUCCGGCGCGCAGCUGGCAUUAUGGCCUUUGAACGACCCAACAAACGAAGCGCACGUCGCUUCGACCGCGACCCCAGGUCAGGCGGGACUACCCGCUGAGUUUAAGCAUAUAAAUAAGCGGAGGAGAAGAAACUUACAAGGAUUCCCCUAGUAACGGCGAGCGAACCGGGAGCAGCCCAGCUUGAGAAUCGGGCGGCUGUGCCGUCCGAAUUGUAGUCAAGAAAAAGCGUCAUCC